rnacentral:lncRNA from 1 species
UAUCUUGCUUUCUUAUAAAAGCCUUCUUUCUUGCCUUAAAAGAAAGGGGGGAGAGGAAAAAAUAGAAUCAUAGGCGGCUGAAAAUUGAAUGAGAAUUCUUACUGUUCUAUUGAAUUUCUAUUCUAAGGUGUAGGCUUGUUAUUCCAAAAAUAAGAUCUGGUUCAAUUUUGAAAGAAGAGAUGGUGUGAGCUUGAGUUUGAAAAGGUAUUGGGAUCUGAAUAUUGUUGGAGUUCAUCAUUCCAUUGACUUGGAACAAAUUUUCAGCGUUUUCAAUUCAUGAGAACUUGUUGGGUCUGCUGUUUGAGUGAAAUUUUUUUCCGGGAUGUAUUACGGUAUUUUUGGAAUUAAAAAAAUCCUUCUGCUUUCUACUCCUUGGUUGUUGGGGCUGAGUCUAUGUAACUGGCUUUUGUUGUUGAUUCUGCUGCCUGUUUGUUCAUCAAUCACCCUUGUUUCUUUCCAUUAUCCAGGUGCAUACUUCAAACCCCAAUGUGUAAUCAAAUUUGGAGAUGAAUGAAGCUAUUUCUGUGUUGCCGCAUUAGUGUUUUUUUAACAAAAUGAUCAUGUCCCCUUGCCUGUUUAUUUUAGACUAGUGAUCUG